ACCCUUCGGGAAAGAUAGUCAAUGUCUUGACCCGAAUAUCCAAGCGACAGCUAUAUUCUCUUAAUGCCAGUCCAUUGCCAGACCUCGAAGACGUUCCGGUCUUCCGUGACUUUCCGGAUGUCUUUCCAGAAGAAUUGCCAGGUGUCCCACCUGACAGAGAUGUCGAGUUCGUGAUAGAUCUCAUUCCAGGAACUGUCCCAAUUUCUAGAAGACCCUAUAAGAUGGCACCCCUAGAACAAGCCGAACUUAAGAAACAACUCGAUGAGUCCUUGAAAAAUGGUUUCAUCCGUCCUAGUUCAUCUCCAUGGGCUUGCCCCGUCCUCUUCGUCAAGAAGAAGGAUGGUACGGACCGGAUGGUUGUAGAUUAUCAACCUGUCAACCUGGUCACAAUUAAGAACAAGUAUCCGCUCCCCAGGAUCAACGAUCUGUACGAUCAGCUCACGGGAUCCUCAGUCUUCUCUAAGAUGGAUUUGAGGUUAGGCUACCAUCAAAUCAAAAUCCGGAACGGGGACAUUCCUAAAACGGCUUUUGUUACUCGUUACAGCCAAUACGAGUACACCGUCAUGUCCUUCGGUUUAACCAACGCUCCAGCCACCUUUUCCCGGUUAAUGAACUCAAUUUUCAUGGAGUAUUUGGAUAAAUUCGUCGUGGUUUACCUCGAUGACAUACUCAUCUACUCCAAGAACGAGGAAGAACAUGCCGAACAUCUAAGGCUAGUGUUGAUGAAACUUCAAGAGCAUCGCCUUUAUGCCAAGUUUUCUAAAUGCGAAUUUUGGUUGCCAGAAGUGACCUAUCUAGGACAUGUAAUUUCUGGUAAAGGUAUUGCUAUCAACCCCGAGCGAGUUCAAGCCGUCCUUAAUUGGACUCCACCUGAAUCGCUCAAGCAAGUUCGGAGUUUCCUUGGCUUAGCGAGCUAUUGUCGCCGCUUUGUCGAGAACUUCUCCAAAGUUGCUAAACCUCUAACUGAACUCCUCAAGAAAGAUAAAAAGUUCGAGUGGACUCCACAAUGUGAGCACAGUUUCCAGGAACUGAAAAGACGUUUAACUUCUGCUCCCGUACUGGUACCACCAGAUUUCUCUAAAGACUUUGUUAUCUAUUGCGACGCCUCGUGACAAGGACUAGGCUGUAUUCUCAUGCAAGAUCGACACGUAAUUGCUUAUGCUUCACGGCAAUUACACCCACAUGAGGAAAACUACCCUACUCAUGAUCUAGAGCUUGUAGCUGUAGUCCAUGCACUAAAAACCUGGCGACAUUACCUCCUCGGUAAUCGUUGCGAAAUCUUCACUGAUCACCAAAGUCUGAAGUACAUAUUCACCCAACCAGAUUUGAAUCUCAGGCAAAGACGUUGGGUCGAGUUGAUCACAGAUUUCGACUUAGGGAUAACUUAUACCCCAGGAAAAGCCAACAUCAUGGGUGAUGCGCUAAGUCGUAAAUCUUAUUGCAACAACCUGAUGUUGCAACAAAGCCAACCACUUCUCCACGAGGAAUUUCGGAAGCUCAAUCUUCACAUCGUUCCUCAAGGAUUUCUUUCCACCUUGGUGGCGAAACCUACUCUUACAGAUCAAAUCAUCGCUGCCCAAAAACGAGAUAAAGGAAUAUCUCGAAUCAAGGAGAACAUUGCUAGCGGAGAUGCUAAAUGUUUCUCUACAAAUGAUCGUGGUGUUGUAUAUUUUGAGAACCGUCUAGUGGUUCCCAAGAAUCAACACUUACGGCAGUUGAUCCUUAAGGAGGCUCAUGAAUCUCCUCUCACCAUUCAUCCCGGUAGCACUAAAAUGUAUCAGGACCUACGCCAGAGGUUCUGGUGGACUAGGAUGAAGAGAGACAUUGCUCAAUUUGUUGCCAAUUGCGACGUCUGUCGUCGUGUAAAAGCAGAGCAUCAACGGCCUGCUGGCACCCUUCAACCCUUAGCUAUUCCUGAGUGGAAAUGGGAUAAAAUUGGUAUGGAUUUCAUCACCGGUUUUCCCAGGACCAAGAGAGGGAAUAAUGCUAUCUUCGUCGUUAUCGACCGCCUCUCCAAAGUAGCCCAUUUCUUACCUGUUCGCGAGAGUAUGACCGCUAGCCAGUUAGCAGACUUGUACAUCUCCCGAAUAGUGUCUCUACAUGGUGUUCCAUUGGAAAUUAACUCGGAUCGAGGAAGUCUCUUCACCUCUCGAUUUUGGGAAAGUUUCCAAAACGCUAUGGGAACCCAUCUUUCCUUUAGCACUGCCUUUCACCCUCAAUCAAGUGGUCAAGUAGAACGUGUCAACCAAAUCCUAGAAGACAUGCUUCGAGCUUCUGUUAUCUCAUUCGGAAUGGAUUGGGAGAAAUGCCUUCCAUUUGCCGAAUUUGCUUAUAACAACAGUUAUCAAUCUAGCUUGGGUAAAGCCCCUUUUGAAGUUCUCUAUGGACGAAGGUGUCGAACGCCUCUUAACUGGUCAGAAACUGGGGAAAGACAAUUCUUUGGCCCGGAUAUGAUCCAGGAAGCAGAAGAGCAAGUUCGCAUCGUUCGUGAAAAGUUGAAAACAGCCCAAUCUCGUCAAAACAGUCAAUAUGACCGAAAACAUAAGGCUAUGACUUACGAGGUUGACGAGAAGGCUUAUCUUCGGGUUACUCCUUUGAAGGGAACCCAUCGUUUCGGUAUCAAAGGCAAGUUGGCUCCUUGCUAUAUUGGACCCUUUCGCAUUCUUGCCAAACGAGGAGAAGUUGCCUACCAAUUGGAACUACCUCCGCAUCUUUCCAAAGUCCACGAUGUCUUCCACAUUUCCCAACUCAGGCGUUGCUUCUCGGAUCCUAUCCAUGGAGUGGACCACGAAACGCUUGAUCUUCAAGACAAUAUCACAUAUCGAGAGUACCCCGUUCGUAUCCUCGAUCAAGCCGAGCGUACCACUCGACGGCAUAAUAUCAAGUUUCUCAAGGUUCAAUGGUUGCACCAUUCUGAGAAGGAAGCUACUUGGGAAAGGGAGGAUCGUCUUCGACUUGAAUAUCCCACCUUCUUUCCGGAGGAACCUAAAUCUCGGGACGAGAUUCUUUUGAGUGGGGGUGAGUUGUCACACCCUAGUUAGUUCAUGCAUUAGAGUGUUGCAUCAUGUCUAUUUCAUUUAAUAGAAACCUGAAAUGGGGAUGAUAGAACCCCCAGCCCCCUCUGAAUCAAACUAGGGUUUACUAAAAAUAUUUUCAAUGAACCUGAAAUGCCCUUCUAAAAUGUCCAUCAUUUUUGUCUUGGCUCAGAACCUCUGCCAAAAGUGAUGCACAGUUUCCUAGGUCAUCUUAAGGUCCUUGAAUUAAAUCAUAAGUAUUUGAAUUUGGGCAUUUAAAAUUUAUAAAAAUAUUGCAAAUGCUCAAAUAUUCCCAAACUAAAAUGUUCCAUGUUGGAAAUAUUCCAACUAAGGACCAGGUGCAGUUUGGUGAAUUUUGGAAUGGCAUAGGUAUUUUUAGAAAUUCAACAAACUUACAGAAUAAAAACAGAAACAGAAAUAAAGGAAAAACAUACCUGUCGCCACCCAGAGGCCCACCUGCUGGCCCAGCCCAGCCACCGCUCCAGCGAGCUGCUUGGCUCGCCAGGCAGGCAGGCAGGUGCUCGACGGCGGCACCGCAGCACGCCACGCAGCAGCUUGCCGCCCUGCUUCCUCCUCUCGCCGCCUAGCUGGCCUGGACGAGCUCCACGUCGCGCCCCGAACCCCGUGGACACUUCCAUUCGCCCCCAGCUCCUCUCCCUCGCGCUCCCCAGCCAUGGCCGACGCCACCGUUGCCGCACCGCCGCCGUAGUCGUGCUCCCCGUCGUCUCCACGCCACGCCACCGUGUCCAGAAGCUUCGCCGCCCUCUACUCCUUCGAGCUAGCCGAGCCCCGAGCGCUCGCGUGCCCCGAAGCCGCUGCACCGACCUCGACCGAACCGCCAUCGCCAGAAAUCCCCUUCGCCGUCGCCGCCGUACCAGCUCGUCCCCGACCGCGCCGUCUAUUCCCUCAAGACCGCCGUGAGCUUAGCUAACUCCCCCUCCUUCUCUUUCUCGCUCUCGUGCACCACAGCGAGCACACGUAGCUCACCCGCACGCGCCGCCGCGGAGCUCGUCGCCGACGUGCCUCCGGCUAACCACUGGCCACCUCACCUUGUCUAACAUACUCACCGCGACCCCAGGGGCUCAACACACCACACCACGGGCCUCGCCGUGCCCCGUAGCGUGGGAUCCAUCUUCACCCGACUUCGGCGACCGCCAAAGUCGUCGCCGGCGACGUCUCCGGCCACCCCGAGCUUAACCACCACCACCAAUAGCCGCGGCUCGAUCUCAGCUACGCAUAGAUGGCUCCCGCCGCCCGUUUGGUCGUCGGAAUGCACAAAACCACUUCCACCGCCGCGUCUGGCCUCGCCGGCGGCUAGACGCCGGCGUGUUUGACUUUGACCUUGACCAGGGUGGGCCCAGGUUGACUCCCCUGAGUCUAUGACAUGUGGGGCCCCUCUGCUAAUUAACCCAGUUUGGUUUAAACUUAAUUUAGUUAGUUUAAUUAUCUACUGACAUGCGGGACCCACUGGUCAGUUUGACCUGGACCAGCCCGUUGACCACUGACGUCAUCCUGACGUAAUGCUGACGCAGUAAUUUAUUUACUGGAAUUACUUUUACACAGGAAAUUCCAGAAAAUGCUACAAAUUUUAAAAAAUCCUAGAAAUUAAUCUGUAACUCCAAAUGAAACAAAUUAUAUAUGAAAAAUGAUUAGAAAAAUCCAAUCUAUCCAUCUGUACUGGUUUCAUGCAUGUUUAAACAAGCUAACCUGUUGUUUAUCACAGAACAAUAUAAAACACUUUAAAUGGCAACUUAUGAGUUUGAACUUUGAAUCUUUGGUUCAAAUUAGUUCAAACCCAUCUGUUCUUAGUUGCAUUAGCCCAAUACACUCAUUUUGCCAUGUCUCAUGCAUGCAUCAUAUUAUUGCAUACUGUUUGGUAAUGUUUGUGUAUCGGUGCUCUCUGCGGCAGGUUCUGCCCCCGAGGAGUACCGUGAUAACCCCAACGAAGAGCAAUACCAGUGCACCGACCCAUCAGGCAAGCAACCAACCAUUUGAUCAUAUCGAUAAAAUCCCAUGUUCUUGCUCCUGCUCUCUUUUACUGCAUUAAGACAACGCGAUUCAAACUGCUGUGUGCUGCGGUAGUUGAACCCAUUUCCUCUGCAUGACCUGUCAUUGCCACAGUAACUAGAUGAAACCCACUAGCAUGUGUAGGAGUUGAGUGAGCCAUAUGAUUGUGUUGUUCCUACCUUGCUAUGCCUGCUAUGCUAGAGUCGUGUCAUGUCUGGUUCAUCUGGGUGAUGGGCUAGAGUGAAAUGAUCGUGUCAGUAUGAGAAUAAGGUGUUGAACACGAUUUGGUAAAGGUAUCGAUGAGAGGCCAUGUAGGAGUACAUGGUGGGUUGUUUCAUUGAGGCCGUCCUUAAGCACUGAGAUCUGUAUGUGUGAUUUAAGAAUCAGCUACUACCAUACAUUGGGCCCUGAAAUAUGACCCCGCUCGACUUCUUAUUCACCCUAGUCCUCUGUCCAGGAGUUGCAAGUAGUUUCUGGUGUUUGUAGCCUACUGGAGGCCGUGGACAGCGCUGACCGUAGGGGUGGGCUGUGAUGCGGUAGGUACGUGGCACGGUGUACCGGAUGCCCGUUUGGUGUCUCGGGAACCCUGCUCACAUCGUUUGGGGCUGUGAGCGAAACUUCGGCCGGAUCUCCUCAUGGAUGGAACCCAAAUAGGCGAUAAACCUGGACUAGAGACUUGAGUGUCUAGGUUGGUCAUGGUCUACACCCACGUCGGCUUUCGCUUGAAGUCUGCCGAGCACAUGUCGUGUGCAGACGCUAAGUGGUGGAAACAUGUAUGAAGAAGUACACCCCUGCAGGGUUAACAUCAUCUAUUCGAAUAGCCGCGUCCGCGGUAAAGGACUGCUUGGUUGCCUAUACAGUUCAUAGACAAGUAAAUGGAAACUACUAAAAGCCUCAAGAUAAGCGUGAGUGCCGAGGAUGGCUCUUCCGUAGGAAGACGGAGGUGGAUCCUCGGUAGUGUAUUGAAGUGGUGAGUAGUGGACUCGAGUGCACAAAACUAUUUCAAGUUGGAGUCUCGUAGGAUAGCUUAGCCAAGAGUCAAAGCUGGCUUGCUGCAGUAACCCCACCAACCCUUCUUGAUAAUAUGCAUGUAUGUAGGAUCUGAUGUAAGUCUUGCUGAGUACCUUUGUACUCAUGUUGCUUUAAUUUACAUUUUUCAGAAGAUGCCACAACCCUUUCCGACGGGUUCUUCGUAGACGUUGACAUCGAUGAGUAGACUAAGGCCCAGGUGGUGAUCCUGAGCAAGUGAAGGACCAUGUAGUAUAGCUAGGCUUACCCAAGCCUCUUUUAUUUUACUAGUUGUCUGUACUCAGACAAAACACUUCCGCUGUUGGCUUGUAUGCUUGUAUGACUUGAAUGUGGGUCGUGUGACCCGUACUUGUGUGUAUGCUAUGUAUGGCUCUCUGAGCUUUUAAAUAAAGUACUUGUGUCAUAGAGUCAUGUUGUGAUGCCUUGUUGUCUUUGCACAUAUCGAGCAUAUUGUGUGUAUGAUUGAAAUGCUUGGUAUGUGUGGGAUCUGACUAUCUAGUUGUUUAUCUUUAUUAGCCUCUCUUACCGGGAAAUGUCUCCUAGUGAUUCCACUGAGCCAUGGUAGCUUGCUACUGCUCCGGAACACUUAGGCUGGCCGGCAUGUGUCCUUCUUCGUUCCUGUGUCUGUCCCUUCGGGGAAAUGUCACGCAUUGAGUACCGGAGUCCUGUUAGCCCGCUACAGCCCGGUUUACCGGAGUCCUGCUAGCCCAGUUCUACAGCCCGGAACUUACUUGCUGAUGACCGACACGUUCGAUGCUGGGUCAUGGAUGCCUGUCCCUGUAAGUCUGCGCCACUUUGGGUUUACAACUAGCCAUGUCAGCUCGGACUCCUUUUCAUAUGGAUGCUAGCGACACUAUCAUAUACGCGUGCCAAAAGGCGCAAACGGUCCUGGGAAAAGGUAAGGCGACACCCGUGGGGAUACCGUGCGUGAGGCCGCAAAGUGAUAUGAGGUGUUACAGGCUAGAUCGAUGUGACAUUGAGUUGGGGUCCUGACAGCGUUGGCAUCAGAGCCGGACUGCCUGUAGGUUCUCCAAGCCAAACUCGUCGAUGUUGAGUCUAGAAAUGCUUUAGUUAUAUGUAGGGGAAUUGAUUGUGGGAUGGUAUGUAAGGCUCUUUUUACUCCUUUACCUCAUGGCAUUCUGAUCUGAGUCAGUCCAUUCUUCCACCGGGGGUCAGGGAUUAGGAUCUCCUCUCUCUAUCAGGUUCACGUGUUACUAAUCAGUAGUACCUUAUAGGUUGAUGAUUACAAGCCUAGUUCAGUUCUACUAUCCUAUUAUGUUACUAAGUUGGACCAGAACCUUGAUAUGAUAUUGUUGAGUGUCUAUGCCAUUCCUUGUAAAAUGUCUCAAAUCCUUUUGAGCAUUUACAGCCGUUAUGCUGUCCAAGUUCUGCUAGAAAUUCUAAUGCCUUUGCAUUGUGGUGAUGCUUUCAGAUGGCCACUCGUGACCAAAACCAAGUGGUUCGCCUGACUAGAUGCAUCGGUGUGACCGGUCAUACGGCUAUGUUAGUCCGGGUAAUGAUCGAGACGGGUUACCGCUGGUAUCCCGAAUACACAGUCGAAGAGCAGUUCCGAGAUUUUAAUCAAAACCAGUAUCUCUGCACUGUCAGGAUAUUUCCCUCUUAUCCUGGUUCCACCGAGGCCCUUCACUGUUCCUAUGGACUUGGUGUUACUAUUGAUAUGGCAGUACAAGAUGCUGCCUACUCCAUGAUGACCAUCAUGCGAGUCAGGACUGGCCUGCUUCGCAACACCGACUUCCGAUAUAUGCCAGGUUCACUUCCUGGAGCGCAUGGGUAUCUCCGGGCUAUCUAUGCUGAUUCCAGUCAGGAGGACUCACUAACCCGCACCACUUUCGAGUUGCUCGAGGAUAAGGAUCGAGAGAGUCGGGCCUUGAGAAUGGAGCUUUUCAAUGCCCGUGCCGAUCACUGGGCCACUUUGACUCGGUUUGCACCGGCUGUGCAGGCUGGAUAUAUGGAUAUGAGAGACCUGUAUCCUGUUAGAUCUGCUCUGCCAGACAUGAUGGAUUGGCGUGAUGUGGGGGGCAUCACCCCACCUCAUGGUCCCCGCAGGCCACCAUUUGUUGGUCCAAGACCUCACCCUUGCCCUUAUGGUCCACAGGCUCCUCAGGACCGUCUGUUUCUGGACGCUCACGUUGAACUUCCAGGUUAUGGAGGAGACUUCUAUGAGAACUACUACGGAGACGUCUGAGUUAGUAGUAGUUCCACUAGUAUUGUAAUGGUUGUAUUUCCACCGUCCUGCGAGGCUUGUGGAAUAUGACUUAGUGUGUAUCAUUCCGGAGGUAUAAGAAAAAUAAUGUAUAGGAGCUUGGUAUGCCUUCGAUGAGAUGUAAUCUUCCUUUCACCGUAGUAGUACUUUGUUUGGUCUUGUACUAAACCUUGUAUUGUGUGUAUGACGAUGGAAUAAAGAAGCAGUUUCUGUAUCUACCAUGUCAUACGGAUGAUCAUCUUGCAUUCCGAGUUAUCCAGUACAUUCUACAUUUCUAUGUUAGAAUCUUAUCAUCCUGGACUAAACCUUUGUCUUGUUUUUCCUAGGAUGGUUAACACCCGCAACAACCCUGCUCCGCCAGAGCAGGCCGAAGGCAGCAGAGUUGGAGAAGAGAACCUGCCUCACCCUCCUUCUCUGGCCAAAGUUACGUUGGAGGCCGAGAGAAACAAACGGGAGACCAACCGUUUGUUGGAGCGCAUCGAACAGAACACAGCACAUCAUCAGAGGAAUAACUUGGUGUCGCUCAGUGACUUCAUCAAGUUACACCCACCUACCUUCCACCACUCCGUCGAGCCUCUCGACGCUGAUGACUGGCUUCGCAGCAUUACUCACAAGCUGCGUUCUGCACUUGUAGCUGAGGCUGAUAAGGUCACCUUUGCUGCAUAUCAUCUUGAAGGCCCCGCCAGUCUCUGGUGGGAGAACUAUAUGGCUAUGCGCCCAGCGGGCCAUGUCACUACUUGGGCAGAGUUUAGUGAGGCUUUCCGUGAACAUCACAUUCCGGAGGGUCUCAUGGAUCGUAAACGUGAGGAGUUCUGCAGUUUCACCCAAGGUCGUCUCUCUGUGGACGCUUACAGCAGGGAGUUCGGUAAUCUCGCAUGCUAUGCCACUGAAGAGGUCUCCACUGACGCCAAGAAACAGGCAAGGUUUCGCAAGGGACUUACCCCCGAACUUCGCCGAGAUCUCCGUCUGCAUGAGUGCACCUCUUUUCAGAAACUUGUGAACAAAGCCAUCAGUGCUGAGACGGGUCAGACUGAUUUCGAAGCAACACGCAAGCAUGGUCGUGACAUGGGUUCCUCAUCCGGUGCUGGACCACAGAAGCGCCGGGUGUGGGUGCCUAACACUGCCCUGCCACCCAGAUUCACAUCGAGGCCAUCCUAUCAGGCGCCUCGUCCAGUUCAGCAGUAUGCACUAGCUAAGCCCUAUAGUGGGCCAACCAACAAUGCUCCUCCACACACCAGCCCCGUGACGUGCUUCAAGUGUGGGGAAUCAGGCCACUACAUGCGCGAUUGUCCCCAGACCAGCCCCAACCAGACUGGAAAAGAUGUUGGCCGUGGCAAGCCAGCAGGGAAGGUGUUCUAUGCCAAGCCGGCCACCACUGCACGUGGCCAUGUGAAUUGUGUCUUAGCUGAAGAGGCCCAAGAGGAUCCCAACGUCGUUCUCGGUACGCUCCUUGUUAAUUGCCACCCGGCAUCUGUUCUUUUCGAUACUGGAGCAUCUCAUUCAUUCAUAUCCGAGAAUUAUGCACGCUUGCAUAACAUCGCAUUCUGUGACAUACCUUCCUCCAUGGAAAUCUCUACUCCGGGUUCUAGAUGGCAAACUUCUAGUGUAAGCCAUGAUAAUGAAAUUCAGGUCGACAGGCUUGUUUUCCUUGCAUCAUUGAUAGCUCUUAAAUCAUCGGAUAUUAACAUCGUCUUGGGUAUGGACUGGAUGUCAGCCCAUCAUGCCAAGAUUGAUUGCUUCUCUAGGACUGUUCAACUCACGCACCCUUCAGGAAAGAUAGUCAAUGUCUUGACCCGAAUAUCCAAGCGACAGCUAUACUCUCUUAAUGCCAGUCCAUUGCCAGACCUCGAAGACGUUCCGGUAGUCCGUGACUUUCCGGAUGUCUUUCCAGAAGAAUUGCCAGGUGUCCCACCUGACAGAGAUGUCGAGUUCGUGAUAGAUCUCAUUCCAGGAACUGUCCCAAUUUCUAGAAGACCCUAUAAGAUGGCACCCCUAGAACUAGCCGAACUUAAGAAACAACUCGAUGAGUCCUUGAAAAAGGGUUUCAUCCGUCCUAGUUCAUCUUCAUGGGCUUGCCCCGUCCUCUUCGUCAAGAAGAA
rnacentral:lncRNA from 1 species